rnacentral:rRNA from 1 species
UACAGAGACCUCAAGCGUUAUUCGGAUUCACUGGGCGUAAAGGGAGCGCAGGCGGCCAAGUGUGUCAGUGGUGAAAUCUUGCAGCUUAACUGUAAAACUGCCAUUGAAACUACUUGGCUAGAGUAUCGGAGGGGGAAGGGGAAUUCCAGGUGUAGCAGUGAAAUGCGUAGAUAUCUGGAGGAACACCGGCGGCGAAGGCGCCUUCCUGGACGAUUACUGACGCUCAGGCUCGAAAGCGUGGGGAGCGAAA